rnacentral:lncRNA from 1 species
CAAAUUCCUCCCCUGUUUUGUCCAAAGUCCCUGGAUAUGGCUUACAGGUCCGGAACUCUGACCGUAACCAGGGUCUUCAGGGUCCUCUGACAGCAGAGCAAAAGAGAGGGCAUGGGAUGAAGAACCAUUCCAGAUCCAGAAGCUCCUCCCACUCACCCCCAAGACAUGCCAGCAAGAAGAGCACCAGGGAAGCAGGGUCCCGGGACAGGAGGUCUCGAUCCCUGGGCAGAAGGUCACGGUCCCCAAGACCCAGCAAACUGCACAACUCUAAGGUGAACAGGAGAGAGACAGGCCAAACUAGGAGCCCAUCACCUAAAAAAGAGGUCUACCAAAGGCGACAUGCUCCCGGAUACACCAGAAAACUCUCUGCAGAGGAAUUAGAGCGAAAACGGCAAGAGAUGAUGGAAAACGCCAAAUGGAGGGAGGAGGAGAGACUGAACAUCCUCAAGAGGCAUGCUAAGGAUGAGGAACGGGAGCAGAGGCUAGAGAAGCUGGACUCCCGGGAUGGGAAGUUCAUCCACCGCAUGAAGCUGGAGAGUGCAUCUACUUCCUCCCUGGAGGAUCGGGUGAAGCGGAAUAUCUACUCUUUACAGAGAACUUCGGUAGCUCUGGAGAAG